rnacentral:rRNA from 1 species
AGAGUUUGAUCAUGGCUCAGAACGAACGCUGGCGGCGUGCUUAACACAUGCAAGUCGAACGAGAAAAUCGGGCACUCAGGCAACUGAGUGCCGGAGAGUAAAGUGGCGCACGGGUGAGUAACACGUGGGUAACCUACCCCCGAAUCCGGGAUAACCUCGCGAAAGCGUUGCUAAUACCGGAUAUUGUCCUUUUGGUUGUGACCUUUGGGAUGAAAGGCAACCUCUUCAUGAAAGUUGUCGUUCAGGGAUGGGCCCGCGUACCAUUAGCUUGUUGGUGGGGUAACGGCUCACCAAGGCUACAAUGGUUAGCUGGUCUGAGAGGAUGAUCAGCCACACUGGAACUGAAACACGGUCCAGACUCCUACGGGAGGCAGCAGUGAGGAAUUUUGCGCAAUGGGGGAAACCCUGACGCAGCAACGCCGCGUGAGUGAAGAAGGCUUUCGGGUCGUAAAGCUCUGUCAAGUGGGAAAAAAGUCUGAUGAUUAAUAGUUGUCAGAUCUGAUGGUACCACUGGAGGAAGCACCGGCUAACUCCGUGCCAGCAGCCGCGGUAAUACGGAGGGUGCAAGCGUUGCUCGGAAUUACUGGGCGUAAAGGGCGUGCAGGCGGGUUGGUAAGUCAGAUGUGAAAGCCCUGGGCUUAACCCAGGAAGUGCAUUUGAAACUGCCAUCCUAGAGUAUGGGAGAGGAGAGUGGAAUUCCCAAUGUAGAGGUGAAAUUCGUAGAUAUUGGGAGGAACACCCGUGGCGAAGGCGACUCUCUGGACCAAUACUGACGCUGAGACGCGAAAGCGUGGGGAGCAAACAGGAUUAGAUACCCUGGUAGUCCACCGCUGUAAACGAUGAGGANCUAGGUGUAGCCGGGUAUUGACCCCCUGCUGUGCCCGAAGUUAACGCAUUAAGUUUCCCGCCUGG